rnacentral:rRNA from 1 species
AUCUGAACCUUCGGGGAACGAUAACGGCGUCGAGCGGCGGACGGGUGAGUAAUGCCUAGGAAAUUGCCCUGAUGUGGGGGAUAACCAUUGGAAACGAUGGCUAAUACCGCAUGAUGCCUACGGGCCAAAGAGGGGGACCUUCGGGCCUCUCGCGUCAGGAUAUGCCUAGGUGGGAUUAGCUAGUUGGUGAGGUAAGGGCUCACCAAGGCGACGAUCCCUAGCUGGUCUGAGAGGAUGAUCAGCCACACUGGAACUGAGACACGGUCCAGACUCCUACGGGAGGCAGCAGUGGGGAAUAUUGCACAAUGGGCGCAAGCCUGAUGCAGCCAUGCCGCGUGUAUGAAGAAGGCCUUCGGGUUGUAAAGUACUUUCAGUCGUGAGGAAGGCGGUGUCGUUAAUAGCGGCAUCGUUUGACGUUAGCGACAGAAGAAGCACCGGCUAACUCCGUGCCAGCAGCCGCGGUAAUACGGAGGGUGCGAGCGUUAAUCGGAAUUACUGGGCGUAAAGCGCAUGCAGGUGGUUUGUUAAGUCAGAUGUGAAAGCCCGGGGCUCAACCUCGGAAUAGCAUUUGAAACUGGCAGACUAGAGUACUGUAGAGGGGGGUAGAAUUUCAGGUGUAGCGGUGAAAUGCGUAGAGAUCUGAAGGAAUACCGGUGGCGAAGGCGGCCCCCUGGACAGAUACUGACACUCAGAUGCGAAAGCGUGGGGAGCAAACAGGAUUAGAUACCCUGGUAGUCCACGCCGUAAACGAUGUCUACUUGGAGGUUGUGGCCUUGAGCCGUGGCUUUCGGAGCUAACGCGUUAAGUAGACCGCCUGGGGAGUACGGUCGCAAGAUUAAAACUCAAAUGAAUUGACGGGGGCCCGCACAAGCGGUGGAGCAUGUGGUUUAAUUCGAUGCAACGCGAAGAACCUUACCUACUCUUGACAUCCAGAGAACUUUCCAGAGAUGGAUUGGUGCCCUUCGGGAACUCUGAGACAGGUGCUGCAUGCUGUCGUCAG